AGUGAACGCUGGCGGUAGGCCUAACACAUGCAAGUCGAACGGCAGCACAGUAAGAGCUUGCUCUUACGGGUGGCGAGUGGCGGACGGGUGAGGAAUACAUCGGAAUCUACUUUUUCGUGGGGGAUAACGUAGGGAAACUUACGCUAAUACCGCAUACGACCUACGGGUGAAAGCAGGGGAUCUUCGGACCUUGCGCGAUUGAAUGAGCCGAUGUCGGAUUAGCUAGUUGGCGGGGUAAAGGCACACCAAGGCGACGAUCCGUAGCUGGUCUGAGAGGAUGAUCAGCCACACUGGAACUGAGACACGGUCCAGACUCCUACGGGAGGCAGCAGUGGGGAAUAUUGGACAAUGGGCGCAAGCCUGAUCCAGCCAUACCGCGUGAGUGAAGAAGGCCUUCGGGUUGUAAAGCCCUUUUGUUGGGAAAGAAAAGCAGCAGGUUAAUACACCGAUGUUCUGACGGUACCCAAAGAAUAAGCACCGGCUAACUUCGUG
rnacentral:rRNA from 1 species